CCUACGGGGGGCAGCAGUGGGGAAUAUUGGGCAAUGGGCGCAAGCCUGACCCAGCAACGCCGCGUGAAGGAAGAAGGCUUUCGGGUUGUAAACUUCUUUUCUUAGGGACGAAGCAAGUGACGGUACCCAAGGAAUAAGCCACGGCUAACUACGUGCCAGCAGCCGCGGUAAUACGUAGGUGGCAAGCGUUAUCCGGAUUUACUGGGGGUAAAGGGCGUGUAGGCGGGAAAGCAAGUCAGAUGUGAAAACCAUGGGCUCAACCUGUGGCCUGCAUUUGAAACUGUUUUUCUUGAGUGCUGGAGAGGCAGACGGAAUUCCUAGUGUAGCGGUGGAAUGCGUAGAUAUUAGGAGGAACACCAGUGGCGAAGGCGGUCUUCUGGACAGCAACUGACGCUGAGGCGCGAAAGUGUGGGGAGCAAACAGGAUUAGAUACCCUUGUAGUC
rnacentral:rRNA from 1 species